GACGAACGCUGGCGGCGUGCCUAAUACAUGCAAGUUGAGCGAUGAAGAUUGGUGCUUGCACCAAUUUGAAGAGCAGCGAACGGGUGAGUAACGCGUGGGGAAUCUGCCUUUGAGCGGGGGACAACAUUUGGAAACGAAUGCUAAUACCGCAUAACAACUUUAAACAUAAGUUUUAAGUUUGAAAGAUGCAAUUGCAUCACUCAAAGAUGAUCCCGCGUUGUAUUAGCUAGUUGGUGAGGUAAAGGCUCACCAAGGCGAUGAUACAUAGCCGACCUGAGAGGGUGAUCGGCAACAUUGGGACUGAGACACGGCCCAAACUCCUACGGGAGGCAGCAGUAGGGAAUCUUCGGCAAUGGACGAAAGUCUGACCGAGCAACGCCGCGUGAGUGAAGAAGGUUUUCGGAUCGUAAAACUCUGUUGGUAGAGAAGAACGUUGGUGAGAGUGGAAAGCUCAUCAAGUGACGGUAACUACCCAGAAAGGGACGGCUAACUACGU
rnacentral:rRNA from 1 species